rnacentral:misc_RNA from 1 species
GGAAGUAAAAGUCUAACAAGGUUUCCGUAGGUGAACCUGCGGAAGGAUCAUUACAGAGUUAGGGUCUUCUAGGCCCGAUCUCCCAACCCUUUGUUUACCAAACCGUUUUGUUGCUUCGGCGAGCCCGUCUUCACGGACCGCCGGGGGACCUCUCCAGGACCCCUGGCCCGCGCUCGUCGAUGGCCCAAACCUUUAAAUUCUUAACUAAACGUGUCAUGACUGAGUACAAAUUUUUUAAUUAAAAGCAAAACUUUCAACAACGGAUCUCUUGGUUCUG